rnacentral:rRNA from 1 species
UACGUAGGCAGCGAGCGUUGUCCGGAUUUAUUGGGCGUAAAGAGCGUGUAGGCGGCCAGGUAGGUCUGCUGUGAAAACUCGAGGCUCAACCUCGAGACGUCGGCGGAAACCGUCUGGCUAGAGUCCGGAAGAGGAGAGUGGAAUUCCUGGUGUAGCGGUGAAAUGCGCAGAUAUCAGGAAGAACACCCGUGGCGAAGGCGGCUCUCUGGGACGGUACUGACGCUAAGACGCGAAAGCGUGGGGAGCGAACAGG